GCCGAUGUGGCGGAAUUGGCAUACGCACACGACUCAAAAUCGUGCGGAGAAAUCCAUACGGGUUCGACUCCCGUCAUCGGCA
rfam:Negativicoccus succinicivorans DORA_17_25 Q612_NSC00101, whole genome shotgun sequence.